UGCUCACCUUCCUGUGAACCUGGCCCCUCAGCUGCUACUCUGCCUCUGUCCAGCUCACCUCUCCACCUGCUUCGAAACGCUCCUCAGUCAUCACCCAGACCAGAUCUUUCCCCUCGGCUCCCAGCUGGAGCCAUGUCUGGUGACCCUCUGUCUCUCUGGGUUCCUUCCACUUUUUCACACUCGAGCCACCAAGAAGAGGAGGAACAUGCAGAGAUACGAGCAGCUCAGCAGACUGCAGAAGAGGAUGGAGCAGGAUGGUGUGGACAUUGUUGACUCAGCUGUGGUACUUGCUGAUGAAUAACAAAAUGACAACUACAUAUACAAGAACACAACUAAACGUUUAUAACAUAAAGUGAAUUGAUGCAGAGAAUUUUUAAAUUGAAAGAAAACAGAUCUGAUGCAUCUGCCUUUGAGAAGGAUGAUAAUGGAAAGGCAAUGAUAAAUAUGUCCACUUAUUCCAAAUUUCAAAUAGUUUAUGCAUUUCUAAUAUUUUAAUGAAUUCAGCAGACAGAGGGUUUGAUGUUGCAGAAUCUGUUGGACUGAAAAUCCCAGCUUUCAUUAAAGGUCUAACAGCUCUGGGUUAACUGGUUCAUGUUGUGCUCUGACAAACCUGUAUCCCACUGUUAAAUCUUCACAGUUAAACAUUAUGAAACAGUGAUAUUGCAUAGUAAAUGAAUAAUUUCAUUAAAGAAAUAGAUAACUAUGAUGCAUCAUUUAUGUAAAAAGAUUUUAUUGAAUGUUAAUUAUGGUACUUUUAUGAAUAAAAAUAUAUUUUGCAGCCUGAAAAA